AUAUUGUUUACUGAUGAUAUCUUCAUACCAACUCAGAGAAAUUAUGUUGAAAUCUAUUUAACAUGCAUCACCAUCUGAUUUUUAUA